rnacentral:rRNA from 1 species
AGAGUUUGAUCAUGGCUCAGAAUCAACGCUGGCGGCGCGCUUAACACAUGCAAGUCGCACGAGAAAGGGAGCAAUCCUGAGUAAAGUGGCGUACGGGUGAGUAACACGUGGAUCAUCUACCUUUUAGUGGGGAAUACCCCUGGGAAACUGGGGACAAUACCGCAUAAGCUCGUGAGAGGAAAGCAGCAAUGCGCUGAAAGAGGAGUCCGCGGCUGAUUAGCUAGUUGGUGAGGUAACGGCCCACCAAGGCGAAGAUCGGUAGCCGGCCUGAGAGGGCACACGGCCACACUGGCACUGAAAUACGGGCCAGACUCCUACGGGAGGCAGCAGUGGGGAAUCUUGCACAAUGGAGGAAACUCUGAUGCAGCGACGCCGCGUGAACGAUGAAGCCCUUCGGGGUGUAAAGUUCUUUCGACGGGAACGAUAAUGACGGUACCCGAAGAAGAAGCUGCGGCUAACUACGUGCCAGCAGCCGCGGUAAUACGUAGGCAGCAAGCGUUGUUCGGAAUUACUGGGCGUAAAGAGUGCGUAGGCGGUGCUCUAAGUCUGUCGUGAAAUCUCCCGGCUUAACUGGGAGGGUGCGGCGGAAACUGGAAUGCUUGAGGGUGGGAGAGGUAAGCGGAAUUCCUGGUGUAGCGGUGAAAUGCGUAGAUAUCAGGAGGAACACCUGGUGUAGACAGCUUACUGGACCACUUCUGACGCUGAGGCACGAAAGCGUGGGUAGCAAACAGGAUUAGAUACCCUAGUAGUCC